UACGUAGGGUGCAAGCGUUAAUCGGAAUUACUGGGCGUAAAGCGUGCGCAGGCGGUUUUGUAAGACAGGUGUGAAAUCCCCGGGCUUAACCUGGGAACUGCAUUUGUGACUGCAUAGCUAGAGUACGGUAGAGGGGGAUGGAAUUCCGCGUGUAGCAGUGAAAUGCGUAGAUAUGCGGAGGAACACCGAUGGCGAAGGCAAUCCCCUGGACCUGUACUGACGCUCAUGCACGAAAGCGUGGGGAGCAAACCGG
rnacentral:rRNA from 1 species